rnacentral:rRNA from 1 species
GACGAACGCUGGCGGCGUGCUUAAUACAUGCAAGUCGAACGGAAAGGCCCUGCUUUUGUUGGGUUCUCGAGUGGCGAACGGGUGAGUAACACGUGAGUAACCUGCCCUUGACUUUGUGAGAACUUCAGGAAACUGGGGCUAAUACCGGAUAGGAGCUCCUGCUGCAUGUUGUGCGUUGGAGAGUUUCGGCGGUUGGGGAUGGAUUGGAGGCUUAUCAGCUUGUUGGUGGGGUAGGUGCUUACCAAGGGUUUGACGGGUAGCCGGCCUGAGAGGGUGAACGGCGACAUGGGGCCUGCGAUACGGAGCAGAAGGCUACGGGAGGCAGCAGUGGGGAAUCUUACACAACGGGGGGAAGCCUGAUGCGGAAGUGCUGCGAGCGGGAUGCCGGCCUUCGGGUUGUAAACAGAUUUCGACUGUGAUGAAGAGUGAGUGACGGUAAUGGGUCAAGAAGCAACGGCUAACUACGUG